rnacentral:rRNA from 1 species
CCUACGGGAGGCUGCAGUGAGGAAUAUUGGUCAAUGGGCGCGAGCCUGAACCAGCCAAGUAGCGUGAAGGAUGACUGCCCUACGGGUUGUAAACUUCUUUUAUAAAGGAAUAAAGUGAGGCACGUGUGCCUUUUUGUGUGUACUUUAUGAAUAAGGAUCGGCUAACUCCGUGCCAGCAGCCGCGGUAAUACGGAGGAUCCGAGCGUUAUCCGGAUUUAUUGGGUUUAAAGGGAGCGUAGAUGGGUUGUUAAGUCAGUUGUGAAAGUUUGCGGCUCAACCGUAAAAUGGCAAUUGAUACUGGCAGCCUUGAGUACAGGUGAGGUAGGCGGAAUGCGUGGUGUAGCGGUGAAAUGCUUAGAUAUCACGAAGAACUCCGAUUGCGAAGGCAGCCUACUAGACUGCCACUGACAUUGAUGCACGAAAGUGUGGGUAUCAAACAGGAUUAGAUACCCUAGUAGUC